CCCUUAGAUGUCCGGGGCCGCACGCGCGCUACACUGAAGGAAUCAGCGUGGCUUUCUCCCUGACCCGAAAGGGUUGGGAAACCCGUUGAAUCUCCUUCGUGAUAGGGAUUGGGGCUUGAAAUUGUUCCCCAUGAACGAGGAAUUCCCAGUAAGCGCGAGUCAUAAGCUCGCGUUGAUUACGUCCCUGCCCUUUGUACACACCGCCCGUCGCUCCUACCGAUUGAAUGAUCCGGUGAAUAAUUCGGACUGCAGCAGUGUUCAGUUCCUGAACGUUGCAGCGGAAAGUUUAGUGAACCUUAUCACUUAGAGGAAGGAGAAGUCGUAACA
rnacentral:rRNA from 1 species